UCUCCGUUCCCUUCCCCUGACAGUUUGGGUGUCGCCGAAUCUCACUGGGAUUAGUUCGCCACCGUAGGGAGUUGCCGGGACUGGUUCGUCACCUCUGCGACCUGGCGACCUGACGAUCUGCUACCACGCAUUCUACUCCUCCCCAGGUCAACUUUACACUCCCUUUGCCUAAUCCUCUUAAUCAAUAUAUAUGAUCGAUCCAGCCUGCUUGCUUGCGCUGAUUCCAUAUUUGUUGUUCUACUCCUCUGCUGAAGCCAUCAGCAGACACAAUUUGGUACACUACUACUUAAAUCCCUAUUAUAUGCAUAUAUACAUAUCUGUUCUAGCCCCUGAUCUCUAUUCUUGACUUGCUGCUCAUUAUGAGUUUCACAUGAUUGGUAGGAAGGAAAGAAAAAAGGGAGUGCAGGCUAGAAUGCUAGAUUAUUCAGUACUAAAGUUUAAACAUCACCGUCCAGCAUUUGUGCCCCUCACCAAUAGCCUGCUACGAUGGCCCACUAGAUGCCAUGGCCGCAUGUGUUGUUCAUGCUGGUGGCAGCGAUGGUGGCAUCCAGGCCCACAUCAAGGCCUGCGCCACGCUGGGAGCAAUCUGCUCCUCCGUUGUCACCGCACAUAACACCAUAGUCGUUCAGGUAUGCUGCUGAAUUUCUUCCUUUUCAGUUUGCUCUCUUCGGCUGAUCGGCUCCUAUGCGGGCUUCUGAGAUAAGGAGGAGAAGAAAUGAUUAGGCUGACGCCAGUAAAAUUUCUCUCUUUAACAAAAGCGUUCUAUGUGCUUGGUAAAAUUUUUAGUGGCAAAUCUAAGUUUAUUCUCAAAUACAUUUGUUCCUGCAACUUUUUUAAUUAUAAUGUCGUAUAACUUUUAUGCCAGCUAACUUCUGCGUAAAAAACUUUUCACUAAUAAUGAUAAAAUAUUGAAGAUGACAGUGCACCAUCUAUGUCAACUACCAGAAAUGUACAGGUUAAAGAUGUGUACAUCAUCCUUCAUAAUGAAAUCCUGAUGUACAUCGGUACAUAUAUAUGCCAAUUGUUUCUGGAAUCUUAACAAAUUGGUCUACAAGAAUAUAUACUUAAAAAAACCUUUUUUUAUUAUUAUCAAUUACGCUCAUUCAGGAUUGUAGAUAAAUGUAUAUGAUAUAGUACUACAUGGCAGAUGUGAUUUUUUCCCCAAGAUAUAUACUUCAAAAAUAUAAAAAGUUAGUUGGAGAGUUCAAGUUUUGAUGUUCUUUGCUUAGUUGUCAUUUUCCUGUAAAUGUUAAUGAGUGAAUUCUGAAGUAAUGUCAGUAUUCCUUCAUUGUACAAUACUGGUAAUAAUAUUUUGUGGGCAUGUCAAUGAGUUUUCUUGCUGUCACCUUUCUAUGCUUCUGUUUUUAGGUAUGGAUGUUUUCUUAUUGUCUUCUUUUGAUGAUAUAUGUGGUCUUCAUAUUUCUUAUCAGAUAAUUUAGGUUUAGUUCCACGAUAGCAUAUCAUGUUUAUGCUAUCAGAAGGUUUUGCCUCAAUUUCCUUCCUCUCCAACAAAUCAUAUUUUAUUUGUUAAUUCGUCGUGCGCUAAUUCAGUACACAUAAUGGUAACAUACGCAUUUGCAUUGAUGGUAUUCUUUGUCGACAAUCUUAUAUUGGCUAUUGUGAUGCAUACAUCAUCAGAAAUUCACUGUAAGCCUGACAAUCUUGGCAUAUUACCCUUAUAUUUGGAUCAUGCAGUUAAUUUUCUAUGAGACAAACCUCAGGGUCUUUACGGCUCAGUAUAGACAGAUAAUUGUGCCGAUAUUAAGGUAAUGAUAUGAUUUCAUGGUGCAGGUCUUUUAGCCUCCUAUCUGGAGGAAGCUCCAUUAUUCUACGAAUCAUAUUGUAACCAAUACAUUGGGUCAAUAUUGGGUCUAUAAGUCAAGGCAGUAAUCACAGAUUAUGUUGUACAUCUAGCGAACAAAUAUUUAUUUGGUUCGAUUGAAGAUUUCAGUAUUUGUGAACUUUACUAGACCGCAAUUACUACAUUUUUAAAAUCAGUGCUGGCCCUAUGUAUGUUAGCUAACAUUUUUCUUGUGCUAUAGUCAUUUCUAUAUCUGCUACUAUUGUUUAAUAUUUAAUGGAACAUUGAUUUCAUAGGUUAGCGUUGUUUGCAGGGUGUUUCAGUGACACUGAAACCAUGGUUGCCUGAGAGGAUUAAAGCCACAGGUACUUCUGAGUUGUAACCUGCAUAGUUCCAUUCUCGGUUGAUCUGUGUAGUCCAUACCGAUUAACAAUACAUAUGUGCUAUUCCAAAGAAUCCAACCCUUAGUAUCUCUAGCUAUACGUACUGUGUUAUUCUCUUUUCUGCUUUGAUCAUAAAGUAUUAUUUCAAUUUAUUUGUGUGUGACGAAGUGACAUGCACUUCAAACAAUUUUACAUGAGACAUGUCAUAUGUUCCAAUAGGGCACACUGGGGUGUAAUUUUUUCUUGACAAGCAUUAUUCCUACUUUCAUUUUUUUUUCAGCGCUGCAUUGUUUUGGAAUUUUCUAAUAACCCAUCCUUCCAAUUGAAUUUUUUCUUUGCAAAUAUACUUAUAGAGUUUUCAUUAUAAGCUGACUUCAAAAUAUGAUUUUAUAACUUUUUUAAUUCAUGAAAUGUUAUGUUUGCCCCUUCUCCAAAGCUACAGAGAUAUUUCAACACGGUUUCUUAUAUGAGUAUUUGUACUACCUACUAUAUACUCAUUGUGUAGCAAUAUAUGGAUGACAUCCAAACAUGCCCUGUAUUCUAUAGGGGAUACCUCAAAAUUCUGUGCCAUUAUGCAAAGGAGGUACCAAUCGUCUACUAAUCUGUUGUAAGUGAUGUACUGUUGUUUUUAUUAAGCUAAAGCACUAAAUUUUUCUUUGUGCUGCAGUGCUAUAGAUGAGAAAAGAUUCAAUUAGUUCAUGACGAAGGUAUCUAUGAGAAAAUGCUGCAAUUCUCAUAUCACCUAAUGAUUGUUGUUUUUUCUAACCUAUACUCCACAUUAUGUAAGAUCCAUUCUCCUCUGUCAUUGCUACUUUUUUGUAAGUGUACAUGAUUGUACAAACAAUUAUUUGAGCAAACAGAUUGUAUUCACAUUUAAAUCUUGGUGAUAGUCACAAUGUGUACAUGCAUAUGUGGGUAUGCUUCUGA